CAAGGCUUGACAUGUACGAGAACGCCCCAGAGAUGGGGUUCUCUUUAGACACUCGUAUACAGGUGGUGCAUGGUUGUCGUCAGCUCGUGUCGUGAGAUGUUGGGUUAAGUCCCGCAACGAGCGCAACCCUUAUCCUUAGUAGCCAGCAGUUCGGCUGGGCACUCUGGGGAGACUGCCAGGGAUAACCUGGAGGAAGGUGGGGAUGACGUCAAAUCAUCAUGCCCCUUAUGAUUUGGGCUACACACGUGCUACAAUGGCGUAAACAAAGGGAAGCAAAGGAGCGAUCUGGAGCAAAUCCCAAAAAUAACGUCUCAGUUCGGAUUGUAGUCUGCAACUCGACUACAUGAAGCUGGAGUCGCUAGUAAUCGCAGAUCAGCAACGCUGCGGUGAAUACGUUCCC
rnacentral:rRNA from 1 species